rnacentral:lncRNA from 13 species
GAUUUUGGUCCCAGAUAACUUCCAAAGGAUGGAGAAGGAGAUGAAAAGCAGAGAGAUAGAGCUUGAAGCUGGAAUGGAGAUGAUUCCCAAAAGACCUUAGAAGCCAUUUAUUGAAGAUAGCAAAGCCCCAAGACCCUGAUUUCUGAAUGAUCAGCCAUGAACAUAGAGACUAGGAGGAGGAGGACUCAAGGUGGCGCUGUGAGAACAACCCAGGAUUGGAGCUCUUCUCGUUGAAUCCGCAAACGGGUAAAUUACUUCUCAGGAAGUUUCCAGGUCCUUUGGAAAACAUCAUCCCAGAGGAUCUAUCUCAUCAGUUCAGAGUGUAUGAUCAACCAUCUUCAGCCAAGAGAUGA